rnacentral:rRNA from 1 species
CAAUAGCGUAUAUUGAAGUUGUUGCGGUUAAAAAGCUCGUCGUUGGAUUUCUGUUGAGGUCGAACAGUGCCGCCUUAUGGGUGCGCAACUGGCUCGGCUUCGGCAUCUUCUUGGAGAGCGCAUCUGCACUUAACUGUGUGGAUCGUACUUCAAGUCAGUUACUUUGAGGAAUUGUGAGUGUUUCAAGCAGGCUUACGCCGUUGAAUCCGUUAGCAUGGAAUAAUAGGAUAGGACCUCGGUUCUAUUUUGUUGGUUUUGAGAGCUGGGGCAGCGAUUGAUAGGGACGGAUGGGGGCGUCCGAACUUUACUGUCAGAGGUGAAAUUCUUAGAUCGGUCAAAGGCGAACUACUGCGAACGCAUUCGCCAAGAAUGUUUUCUUUAA